rnacentral:rRNA from 1 species
CGGAGCNCGCCGCGUGAGUGAUGAAGGCUUUCGGGUCGUAAAACUCUGUUGUUAGGGAAGAACAAGUGCUAGUUGAAUAAGCUGGCACCUUGACGGUACCUAACCAGAAAGCCACGGCUAACUACGUGCCAGCAGCCGCGGUAAUACGUAGGUGGCAAGCGUUAUCCGGAAUUAUUGGGCGUAAAGCGCGCGCAGGUGGUUUCUUAAGUCUGAUGUGAAAGCCCACGGCUCAACCGUGGAGGGUCAUUGGAAACUGGGAGACUUGAGUGCAGAANAGGAAAGNGGAAUUCCAUGUGUAGCGGUGAAAUGCGUAGAGAUAUGGAGGAACACCAGUGGCGAAGGCGACUUUCUGGUCUGUAACUGACACUGAGGCGCGAAAGCGUGGGGAGCAAACAGGAUUAGAUACCCUGGUAGUCCACGCCGUAAACGAUGAGUGCUAAGUGUUAGAGGGUUUCCGCCCUUUAGUGCUGAAGUUAACGCAUUAAGCACUCCGCCNGGGGAGUACGGCCGCAAGGCUGAAACUCAAAGGAAUUGACGG